rnacentral:rRNA from 1 species
CGGGUGAGUAACACGUAAGUAAUCUACCUCUGAGUGGGGAAUAACGUCCGGAAACGGACGCUAAUACCGCAUAAUGCAGCGGCACCGCAAGGUGACAGUUGUUAAAGAUUUAUCGCUUGGAGAGGAGCUUGCGGCAGAUUAGCUAGUUGGUAAGGUAAUGGCUUACCAAGGCAACGAUCUGUAGCCGGUCUAAGAGGACGGUCGGUCACACUGACACUGAAUAACGGGUCAGACUCCUACGGGAGGCAGCAGUCGGGAAUUUUGGGCAAUGGGCGAAAGCCUGACCCAGCAACGCCGCGUGAAGGAUGAAGUAUUUCGGUAUGUAAACUUCGAAAGAAUGGGAAGAAUUAAUGACGGUACCAUUUAUAAGGUCCGGCUAACUACGUGCCAGCAGCCGCGGUAAUACGUAGGGACCAAGCGUUGUUCGGAUUUACUGGGCGUAAAGGGCGCGUAGGCGGCAUGACAAGUCACUUGUGAAAUCUCCGGGCUUAACCCGGAACGGCCAAGUGAUACUGUCGCGCUAGAGUGCGGAAGGGGCAAUCGGAAUUCUCGGUGUAGCGGUGAAAUGCGUAGAUAUCGAGAGGAAC